UUCGCCCUUAGAGCUUGAUCCUGGCUCAGAACGAACGCUGGCGGCAGGCUUAACACAUGCAAGUCGAACGCCCCGCAAGGGGAGUGGCAGACGGGUGAGUAACGCGUGGGAACAUACCCUUUCCUGCGGAAUAGCUCCGGGAAACUGUAAUUAAUACCGCAUACGCCCUACGGGGGAAAGAUUUAUCGGGGAAGGAUUGGCCCGCGUUGGAUUAGCUAGUUGGUGGGGUAAAGGCCUACCAAGGCGACGAUCCAUAGCUGGUCUGAGAGGAUGAUCAGCCACAUUGGGACUGAGACACGGCCCAAACUCCUACGGGAGGCAGCAGUGGGGAAUAUUGGACAAUGGGCGCAAGCCUGAUCCAGCCAUGCCGCGUGAGUGAUGAAGGCCUUAGGGUUGUAAAGCUCUUUCACCGAUGAAGAUAAUGACGGUAGUCGGAGAAGAAGCCCCGGCUAACUUCGUGCCAGCAGCCGCGGUAAUACGAAGGGGGCUAGCGUUGUUCGGAAUUACUGGGCGUAAAGCGCACGUAGGCGGAUAUUUAAGUCAGGGGUGAAAUCCCGCAGCUCAACUGCGGAACUGCCUUUGAUACUGGGUAUCUUGAGUAUGGAAGAGGUAAGUGGAAAUUCCGAGUGUAGAGGUGAAAUUCGUAGAUAUUCGGGAGGAACCCCGGUGCGAAAGCGGCUUUACUGGCCCAUUACUGACGCUGAGGUGCGAAAAGCGUGGGGAGCAAACAGAAUUAGAUACCCUGGUAGGCCA
rnacentral:rRNA from 1 species